AGUGAACGCUGGCGGUAGGCCUAACACAUGCAAGUCGAACGGCAGCACAGUAAGAGGUUGCUCAUACGGGUGUCGAGUGGCGGACGGUUGAGGAAUACAUCGGAAUAUACUUUUUCGUGGGUGAUAACGUAGGGAAACUUACGCUAAUCCCGCAUACGACCUACGGGUGAAAGCAGGGGAUCUUCGGACCUUGCGCGAUUGAAUGAGCCGAUGGAGGAUUAGCUAUUUGGCGGGGUAAAGGCCCACCAAGGCGACGAUCCGUGGCUGGUCUGAGCGUGUGAGCAGCCAGACUGUAACUGAGACAGUGCACAGACUCCGUGGGGAGGCAGCGGUGGGGAAUAUUGGGCGAUGGUGGCAAGCCUAAUCCAGCCAUACCGCGUGGGUGAAGAAGGCCUUCGGGUUGUAAAGCCCUUUUGGUGGGAAAGAAAAGCAGCAGGUUAAUACCCCGCUGUUCUGACGGUACCCAAAGAAUAAGCACCGGCUAACUUCGUG
rnacentral:rRNA from 1 species